GGGGAUUUAGUUUAGCGGCAUAAACACCUGCCUUGCAAGCAGGCAGUAGCCGGUACCCAUAAAAAAAAAUCCCUA
rnacentral:tRNA from 1 species